AGAUUUUAUUUAUUUGAGAGAAGAGAGAGAGAGUGCAUGAGAGCAAGCCUAAACCACAGUAUGAAAAAGCUAUGCAGAACAUACCUGAAGCCAGCUGACUGACUGCCUACCUGCCAUUCAUAGAACAGGGAAGAACGUCUGCGUGCUUCAAGGACACAUAUUUUAAAGUCAGAGUGCCUCAUAGGAGGACCAAGUGGGGAGUCUCUGAAUAGGAAAUUGCCAGGCUCUUUCUCAGACAGCACUUUUAUGCAGAUCCUUUCUGCAUGUACUUACUCAAGAGAGGAUGCGAUAAUUCUUCGAGGAGGACUGCUGGCUGCACAUGGGGUGAAGCCACCCUUUGAACAUCUGCACUUCCCAUAUGCUCUUCCCCUGAAAGUGCUGCGCUCCGGGCUAGUGCCAAUCAGCCCACACGGUGCUAAUCAGGGCACAGUGGUGGCGAAGCAUGUGCACCCAAUUAAGGGCCCUGCAGCCUGCUCUCCCGUCAUGGCCCUUGGCAGUGUGACCUCACGCACUCGGAGCCUUGCACACACAAUCUGGCAGAGGUGAGGGCUCGGCUGUAUGCCGCUGUUCUUACCUCCAUCCCCUUCACCUUCAGCCUGCCCCUCAGAAGCCUCACCUGUCAGAAUGCUGAGCGGGAGCUUCGAAAAGGUGAACUGGGACCAUGAUGACUAACAGGUGCCGCAUUGCUGACAUGAGCACAAUUUCGGGACUUUUAAAAAAAUAAAUUUUACUCAGUCCAAGUUACUGGGAAGGUGGAUUUAAUGAAGUGGAGCGGCAUGAAUAUUGACAUUUUAGCUCACAUUAAACCUGCAUGUACCCUGA